UGAUGGGGAGGUUGGACACAGUACAGAGAAGAACGCUUCCUGCUGCCUUCCUUCUCCAGCUCCAUAGCCCAAGCUCAGCUGAACCCAGGACAGGCUCUCCAGGCUGGAAGCCACAGUGCACCAAGGCAGACUGUGCUUCAUGAUACCAUGGAAAGAUGAAAGCACGGGUCAAAUGCAGACUCUGGAUCUGCAUUUAGCACUCAAAAGCUCCUCUGCUUUAAUCCCAGCUCCAGCAGUCCUUCCCUGUGUGGUCUUAUGGG
rnacentral:lncRNA from 1 species